GACAGAGGAGCCAAGCGUUGUCCGGAUUGACUGGGCGUAAAGCGCACGCAGGCGGCCGCGCGCGUGGGGUGUGAAAUCUGGCCGCUUAACGGCCAGGCGCCAUCCCAUACGGCGCGGCUGGAGCCAUGCAGAGGGCGGUGGAAUUGCCGGUGUAGUGGUGAAAUGCGUAGAGAUCGGCAGGAACACCCAGGGGGAAACCAGCCGCCUGGGCAUGCGCUGACGCUGAGGUGCGAGAGCGUGGGGAGCGAACCGG
rnacentral:rRNA from 1 species